ensembl:lncRNA
AUGGAAGGUACACAAGACCUCGCUGAGGAAAUAAAAGGAGAAGAAGAGCAGCAGUGUCCUGGCGUCCUUUCUGACUCGUCAAGAAGCGGCGCAGGCAAACGCUCGAGAAGAAAGACAGUCUAUGAAAAAGCUAUGACAAAAAGACGUCUGGAUCAGGAAAGAGCAAAAACCCGAGUUACAAUCGGCUCUGCUUUCCCCCGCUGGAGACAGCUGCGAGAGUCAAAGUGUCUGAAGACCGAUGCCAUGGUUGCCCUUUUUCUUCUGGACAAUUACGAGAAAAGUACAACAUCCACACCUUUGUUGCAUGAAUUCAUAAAGCCACCACCAGAGUUUUCCAACGGUUUUUCCGAGUCUUCGUACGAACAGUGAGUACAGAGUCAUGUUUCUUCAUUUAAUAAAAAAAUAUCCUUCGUAUUUUACUGGUAUUAUACAACCAUGGUUUUAUUGUGGUAAAAGUGUAGUAGCCAUGGUUUUUUGGCUUAGCCUAUUGAUUUCCAUUUGUAUAACCACAGUUACUACAAAUACCACGGUUAAACUAUAGUGUAGCAAAACCGUGGUAAAUUUGUGGUUACCGUGAUUUAACUAUAGUAGCCAUGGUCUUUCGGUUUAAUUUGUGGUAAAACCAUGGUUAAUAGGUCAAGUAAUUUUUUAAGUAUUGUUUACUGUGCAUCGAUCUUGAUUUGGUCUGAUGUGUUGGUCUGAAUUUGGGCUAAACCUACAUCUCCGUUGAUACGACUAGAGCAGGGAUCUCCAAACCUGCUUCCGGAGAGCAUCUUCAGGUAUCUCUGAAGACCUUGAUUAGGGUUUGAGAUGAACUUUGCAGGACUGUAGCUCUCUAGGAGCAGGAAUGGAGAUCCCUGAUUAAGAGUAACUGAAUGAGAACUAUUCAUGUUGAGUUUAAGUGGAAUAAAUACAUUAAAAUAAUCAAAUUUAAAUUAAAAUAAUCAAAUGAUUUUUAUUAGAUUAUGUAUUAUUUUAUUAUACAAUUAAUAUUUUUUAUGGUGUAAAUUGCUAAAAACAACAAAAACAACAACAAAAAGAACUACUUCACAUAGUAAAUUUCUUUUGUUUACUAUUCAUGUUCUGUUUUGCAAGACACAGGCCUGAAAUCAAGUUUCUCAUUAAGGAGGAAGAGGAGGAGAAACCUGCCUGUAAAAUUGAGGGUUUAUGAGGAGAGAGAGUAGGAUGCUUCUGUUGGCAAUCAGUACGCAAUCCAUGAAUGAUAUUCUUCCUGUUCUCAGAGAUGGACCUGCUGUGAACUCUGAACCUGUGAGUAUCCUGUAGUUCAGGUCCCAGACUCUGUUGGCCCUAAAAACUGAAACACUGGAAAUGUUCAAUUUACUUAACACAAAACUUGUAAAUCAGUAUUAUAAAAUAACAUUACAUGGCAUGAAAGCAUAUAAAGAAGUUAUCAAUUUAAGAUAAUAAUAAAAAAUAUAUAUUUGAUCAAAAAAAACAAAAAAAAAAAACAACCUGCUACAAAUUGAGCUCAAAUAAGGAUUCACACAGACACACACAGAUUCACUGUAAAACCUGACGAGUUCUGAAUACUCGAAACCUUUCUGGAUACUGAUUAACUCACACCAUUUAAGUAGCUUAGUUUUUUAAAGAAAACGAUUAAUAUACAUUUGAUUUGAUUUAAUAUUUAAGUAUACUUUGCUUAAAACUAUUUACUUUACAUAAUGUUUUUCAUCUGUAUAUUAUUUUGAUGCAGUAGUGCUUGAUUAAAUACACAUACUAAAUAAAAAAUAUGUACAUGUAACUUAUAGUCUAAUCAUGCUGAAGUCCAGCAUUAAAAACAAACCACAACUGUAGCUGUAUUCAGUCUUGUUUUAAAAACACUGUGACUGCGUGAACAAGUGUACCUUAACAUGACAAAUACUCUGGAAGAUCAUCAUCCAUCACAGCUGCAGUGUUUGCAGAACGUGGAGGGCUUUCAUUGACAAAGAGUGUCAUUGAUGAACUCAUCUGAUGACUCCACCUAGAACAAACACGGGGUCCAACUUAAAGUUUAAUUUACUAGAUUAAAAUUAGACAGUUGCAUUUACUGAUACAUACUAGCAAUUCUCUUAAUGCACUGAAUACUUGUAUUUUACGUUUUGAAGGACAGUGGGUCCUCUUCACUAACAUACAGCAACAAAUUAAAACUCACCUCUGUGUCACUUUCUGUGAAACAGUGGAAUUCAGCACAAACCUAGAAAACCACAAACAAACAAGUAUGUAUAUAACCAAUAACGGAUUUUUGAAAGAGGACGAUGAGUCUGUCUGGAUAUUUUAUCCUACUCAGUUUACAGCACAUGCACACCAGUAUUGUAUAAUUUUUCUUAGGCUAAAAGAACAAAACCAUAAUUACUGUAUUUGCAUUACUGGAAGUGGUAGUUUACCCCAUUACCCCAUUAAUGAUUGCGAAUCGGAUUUGUUUGUUUAAAUGACGUAUCUGUGAUGAAUUGUACAUCAAUAAAUCAUAACAAUUAAAAUAAACCGGACUUACAAAUGUUCUUAUUGUUUCUUUUUAGAAGGCAUAUUCUAGUCUAUCCACUGGUUCACAUCAACAACUGUGUGAAGAUACUUCCUAUAACUCUUAUUACCCAAUAAAAUUAGUCCUCACUGCAGAAAAUUAAGUCCUGUUCCUUCAUGUCAAAUGCAUAAACUUUAAUAUCUUAAUAUAAAGUUCACCCAGAAAUGAAACUUCUUUUAUCAGUUAUGUCACUCCAAACCUGUAAGACUAAUUCAUUAUCAGAACACAAAAUAUUUGUAGUAUUUCCUCAUAAUUUUUGUCCAUUCAAUGAAAGUCCACACAACCAAAAUAUUCCACCUCAAAAAUGCAUGAAGACAUUGUGAAGGUAAUUUAUAUGAUUUAAUGGAAGCUUUUAUUAACAUGCAAACUUUGAUCCUCCACAUAUAUAGACCCCAUGAACUGAAGCUCAAACAUGCUUGAGAAAUUGUCAGGUUUCUUCAACCGCUGUAAUUAUAUAUUAUUAUUUUUACAAGGUGUUUAUACACUUUUUGAAGUUGGAAGACAUUGGUUGCCUGGAUUGGGUGAACAAAAUUAAGAGAAAUUAGAAAAUUAUAUUUAUGUUUUGAAAGUGGACCAGAUUUAUCGGUUUAAAGCGACAUGAAAGUGAAUAAAAUAUGACAAAUAAAAUGUUAGGGUGAAUUAACCCUUAAAAAAGAUAACAAAUGGUCUAAUGAAUUAAAUUUGUAUGUAAAGGUUCAUGAUGAGAAUCAAUCCUGACAACAGCAUGUGCUCCUCAAAGGUCCAGAUCAGCAGAAGAAGUGGAAGAUGGUGAAAGGAAGAGCUCUGGCCUGAAACACCUGUGUGGCCUCCUUAAUGAAGGAGUUUGUGGAUUCAACUGGCAAAAUGACUAAAUCUACUAAAUAUAUUCUGCUUGUUUUUUAAUCUUUCAAUGUUAAUAUAAUACUUAGGAUUGUUCAUGUAUUCCAUCCAAUUGUUCAUGAUUUUCUUUUUUAAUGCUUCAGUAUGUGUGUUACUCUUGUGUGUUACUGCAGGUUGUCUGACAUUUUUCUUUAAAUAGUGAUAGUGGACAAUAAUUCACUUGUUUUCAACAAUAGUCCAAUUUACUGUAACGAAGUGCAGGGGCUGCUUUUGUGUUCAUGAAUUGAAUCACUAUUCGUUAUUAUUAUUAUUAUUAUUAUAAUUAUUAUAGUAUGUUGUGCUCAGGAUAGCUGUGAUUCAUUAAAGGAGAGUUUUCUAAAUAUAAUUAUAUGUGACAAAGUUUUGUUCUUGAGUCUUACUGUCUGCAUACACAUUGUGAGAACACGUGAGGGAGAAUAUGAUACAUAAUGUGUACAUGUUGGUAAAUAAUCUCACAAGAUUUAACAAUAAAUGUUUUUAAUUUUGGAGGGAAGGGGUGUGUAAUACAUUUAAAGUAUGCUUUAAUAUUUUCUAUUAAUUAAUUUUAGACAUAUAACACAGGCAUGCACAUAUAAAUCCUUACUAGGAUGCAUUUGAGAAGCACCCAGUGACUGCAAAAACAUUUAAAGCGUCGGUAAAAUCAAGCCACAACGCAAAUGUUCAAAAACGCGUCCAAUGUCAUUACAUGCAGAUUGGGGCGGAAUUGUUUAAUGAUGAGGUGAAACUGAAAGCGACUGUGUCAAACGCCAUCUUCAGAGAAUUCAAAAUCAAAAAAGAAGGUAAGUUCAUGAAAACUUUUAACAGCUGCAGUAUUUAACUAAGGAGCGUUUGUGUCGGAAUAGACUUAAACUCAAGUCACGUCAAAGUGCAUCAAAUAUCAUUAUCUCUUAGGCCUAUACUAUACGGAAACUUACACAUUCAUGGCUGGAAAUGGUCCAGCCACCUUAUAUAUAUAUAUAUAUAUAUAUAUAUAUAUAUAUAUAUAUAUAUAUAUAUAUAUAUAUAUAUAUAUUAAACAGAGAGAGAGAGAGAGAAGGAUUUAGAAAGCUGAAAGCUGUGUCAAACAUAGUUUCAGAUCGACUUGAACCAUUUAAUAUUUUGUUUCAUAUCCAGUGAAUGUUUAAUUAUGCCGUUUGACUUUGAAAAUAAAGUAGACUAUGUCACAGGAUAAUCACAUUUAUAAACACGUAAAAUAUUCACAAUAUACAAGCCAGAAGUGUUGGCCGACAUUUAGACUAUAUCCCCAUUAUAGAGCAAGGAUCUACAACCCUGCUUCUGGAGAGCUAACUUCCUGCUUCGACACACCUUCAAGUAACUUAAGACCUUGAUUAUUUGGUUCAGGUGUGUUUGAUUAGGGUUGAAGCUGACCUUUGCAGGACAGUAGCUUUCCAGGAGCAGGACUGGAGACCCCUGAUUUAGAGCAACAGAUUGAGAACCAUUCAGUUUAAGUUAAAGAGGAAAAACCCAAUAAUUGAUUUUUAAAUUAUCAAAUUCAAAUGUUGUUCUGUACUAUGUAUUAUAUCUUCUGCAACAUGCAGGCUUGAAAUCAAGUUUCUCAUCAAGUGGGAAGAUGAGGAGAAACCUGCCUGUGAAAUUAGUGCGUAUGAGGAGAGAGAUGAGACUACUGUUGACGCUCAGAGAGCAUCAUCUU